UGCACCAAAUGUUCCUGAAUAACUUUGAAAAGAAUGUAUGACAAUCAGGCCACCAGAGAAGGAACUUUUCGAUACUGACGGUCAAACGAGGGUCACCAUAACUACGACUUAGUUUUUUAUUGUUGACUUCCGUCGAUUGAAAUGUCUCGCGCCACACAGCCUCUAUACGUGAACCAAAUCAAUGACUCAGAUGAAUUUCCUUCAGUGAGGGAUAACACCUGAAAGGCUACUGAGUGUUACUGAUUUUAAUGGCUAACAAGUGUCGCGGCGUGGAUUGAUUGCAUUAUAUUCGAAUGAAGACUCCAGACGUUAGCGGCGAGCUUUGCAGAGAAAGGCAUGGAAAGCUUCGGAAGGCCUUAAAAAAAGGGAACAAAAAACUCAUCAUGCCGACCAAGUUUAUUCCGAAUGUACUUUGGAACGGUCGACAACUACUCAAAAACUGAAACGGAAAGAAAAAAAUUAUAACUGUUGCGUUUCUUGGACCGUCGAACUUUCACCCCCGAUUUCCUUCACGUAAACUGGGCAUGACGUCACUGGAGUGAGCGAACGCGGCAGAGCGUGGAAGAUGCUACACUUCGACAAGCUCGUGAAAAAUAUCACGGACGAGUAAGUGUAAAGAGGCUAGGCAGUGUCAGUAUAAGCUUAUCCCAGUUGGAAAGUGCGCUGUUUGAGUCGAUUAGAACGUACUGAGCAGGAAGUCAAUUGCUCCUUUGUGCGGAGUAAAUUCUAGCAUGGUAUUGAUCUAGUUUCCUGAAUAAUUGGGGUAUCAUAUAUAUGGAAAUGUCUUAGGAUUUAUCUGAUUAGUGAAAAACAUUGUUUAAAGCAAUGAUAUCGAGCCACCGAGUGUGCGUUGAGAUUUGUGGCUAAAUGACAAAUUCCUUCUCAGUUUACUGCUCCAAUGAACUGCACUUACUGGUUCAUCGUGCAUUUACAAUAAUAAAAUUCAUUUUAAUCCGUUUUAUUUCUUUUAUUUUGUUUUCCUGUAUCUUCUUUGUGACAAUCAGGCGGCCACUCUUACUUCAACAGCUACAGCCUAUGCUUAGUCAUUAGAUGGUUCAUCACAUAAGAAAAAAAAGCUCUGACACAAAAUGUUAACCGUCAGGUGGUUAGAAAGAUUUAUUGCUGUCAUUAACUGCGGAUAGAAUAAAUUAACUAUUAACAAUGGUUGAGCAUUCACGUGGGUUUGCACCUUUAGAACUCCAAGGCGUCUGCCUGAAUCACGUUAAACCUUUUAAAGAUACCAUUUAAUACAAACAAAAGCUUCUUUGUUGAAAUCAAUAAAAUAAUCAUGAUAAAAAAGCAGAAAUGUACCUACUUACGUACUUCUAUUGAAAAAGAAAUUCUAAAUAUAUGAACAAUACAUAUGCAAAGUUCCGAUCACGGCUUCGCACACACGACAAAGGAAAAAGCUAAACGGAUUUUCGAAAAAACAAUGUUAGGAUAAAAAUGUCACCUCUCGAAAUUUGUAAGAAGUGUCAGUUAUUUUAGGAAAUUAUAAGUUGUCAUGUCGCAUGUUUUACGGCCGGAUUCGCCGCCAGUAGGUAGCGGUGACGUGCACCCUGACGUCAUGGCUGUUGUUUUGUUCUCUUAGGAUUAAAUCCACUCGGAGCACUAAACAGCAUGCAAAGAUUGAUUUCAUUGCACAGUUACAAAAUCACAGAGAAAAUGUCAGCCGAGUUUAUCUAAACAAGACACAGAAAUGAACGAAGUGAAACGGAAAGCGACGUCGAAAUACUUCGAGCAAGAAAUUUGGAACAAUUUGUCGAAGCAAAAUUCUUUUGAAGAUCGGCGACUGAAUUUGAAAUACCAUAAACUGGAAAAGGACGAGUCUAUUACAGUUAGAUCAUGGAAUCAGGAACAGCUGGUCAUGCUGAGGAGGAAUAAAAAGCUGCACAGCCUCAUGGACAUGAAUUACUCAAGAUACCUCACUCUGCCAACGUUAACCCCAGCCCCGCGCUCCCGCUCAACAACUGAUUAUACUCGAGGAAAUACUGGAUUAGGGUUGCCAUCUGAUGUACGAUCACGGCCUCGUUCACAUUCAGAUCAUUCGAAAAGAGACAGGCCAUCGACGAAGCAGCCGAAAAGACAAGAGGAGGUCAGUUUUCCAGCCGUUUCCACCACAUUGAAUGUACGGAGCUCACAUUCUGCUAAUUCACAGCGUUCAAGCUUAUCAGAUAGCGAAAUAACAAAACAAAAUAGAACGAGUUGGACUCGACCAUCCACCCAGCUUCAUAAGAGAGAUAACAUCACGCCUCGGCUGUGACUAGUUUCACCAAACUUUAAAAUUAGGGAUCAUUAGUUCACUCGUGGAAAACAUUGCUUCGUCUUAGUAAAGAAAUGAUAAAAGCUGAUAAAACUCACGGAUUAAUAACAUUCCAAUCAAGUUGUCGAUGCACUCAGCCAUUCAAUGGAAAGUGGUUCAACCCGCAAAUCAAGUUGAGAUGUUGGACCUCGAUAAACAAAGCGAGAUAGAUUCAACUUGUUUAUUUAAUUUCAACGAGACGAAAAAAUAACAGAUAUUUUAAAACACACAUUUUGUUACGGCUCCAGUGAAAACUAAUAAUUAUGACAAUAAUUAAUCCUAUGUAAUCUUCUUAAUUUAACAAUGAAAACACAAACUACAGAUAUUUUCACGAGACAAACAUGAAUUAAAGCUACUGUUUUGAUGGAAAAA